UUCGGUCAGAGCUCUCCUCUAGUCUCGCGCAGCCAGCCCCUCCCCCUUUUUGACAUCCGUUGGCGGGAGACGGUCUGGUAAGGUUCCUUUGAUGUCUUGGUUCUGCCGACCCCUGCAUUCCAUGGGGCAUAAAGACUUAACGAUGAUCUGUUAAUUGAGAUAAGCGACCAACCGGUGCUGCUGGACUUUGUUCUGGCUUUAGGCGAGUUCGUUUGCUCUCACGAGUUGCGUGGCAAGAGAAGCGCGCAGGUUGUACGUCUUCUUGCGCGACAACCUUGGCAGGUGAGUUGUUCUUCGCGAAAUUGCUUAUAGGCUCGUCUGGACGUCAGCUACAGCGUUAAAGCUAGCAACACGACGAGCAGUCUGUCCUACACUUCACUGGCUUCCGUACUGUCACGUACGGAAGUUGCGUGAUCAUGCACUUCCUAGUAUGUCACUGGUGACGGUGAUAUCCUACGUACUGUACGUCAGUAGCCAAAGUGAACAGGGUUUGACGUACUUUUGCGAGAGAGAAGAGUAUGGGCUAACGAGGUAACGUGUUGUGCGUGGGUUGUGGACGUUUUUGCGUGGGGUUUGUUGUUGUCAACUGUUGCUUUCAGUUUGAACGUUUGUCAGGGCCGCCUACGUCGACAUAUCAUC